rnacentral:lncRNA from 1 species
GACGUGGAGACCAGGCCGUGCCAGCGCUUCAAUGCCCAGAAUCCAGGCCAGCCCCGCAGACAACUGAGCAGCAUCACCUGGGCCCCCGGACUUCCCAGCACAGGUCUCAUCAGGCCCUCUGUCUCCCCGCCCCCAUCACCCUGGUUUCCAGGUGGCCAAGGCACAAAGCCCCCAAUCCCAGCACUGCUGCUACAUGAGCAGGAGCAGAGGCAGAGCUGCCAGCUUCCCUGCUUGGUCUGCAAGCCUGGGUUUCCGUCCUCUAUGCUCAGCUCCCUCGUUAAACUCAACUCAGUAUUUACCAGGCUUCCCCCACAGGACCCAGUGCACAGAGAGGGUGGCAAUGGCAGCAGUGCCUGGGAGAGGACCUUGGGCAGG